UCUACAACGAUGUACAAUUAUAGC
rnacentral:siRNA from 1 species